GACGAACGCUGGCGGCGUGCUUAACACAUGCAAGUCGAACGGAAAGGCCCUGCUUUUGUGGGGUGCUCGAGUGGCGAAAGGGGGAGUAACACGUGAGUAACCUGGCCUUGACUUUGGGAUAACUUCAGGAAACUGGGGCUAAUACCGGAUAGGAGCUCCUGCUGCAUGGUGGGGGUUGGAAAGUUUCGGCGGUUGGGGAUGGACUCGCGGCUUAUCAGCUUGUUGGUGGGGUAGUGGCUUACCAAGGCUUUGACGGGUAGCCGGCCUGAGAGGGUGACCGGCCACAUUGGGACUGAGAUACGGCCCAGACUCCUACGGGAGGCAGCAGUGGGGAAUAUUGCACAAUGGGCGGAAGCCUGAUGCAGCAACGCCGCGUGCGGGAUGACGGCCUUCGGGUUGUAAACCGCUUUCGCCUGUGACGAAGCGUGAGUGACGGUAAUGGGUAAAGAAGCACCGGCUAACUACGUG
rnacentral:rRNA from 1 species